rnacentral:rRNA from 1 species
GACGAACGCUGGCGGCGUGCUUAACACAUGCAAGUCGAACGGAAAGGCCCUGCUUUUGUGGGGUGCUCGAGUGGCGAACGGGUGAGUAACACGUGAGUAACCUGCCCUUGACUUUGGGAUAACUUCAGGAAACUGGGGCUAAUACCGGAUAGGAGCUCCUGCUGCAUGGUGGGGGUUGGAAAGUUUCGGCGGUUGGGGAUGGACUCGCGGCUUAUCAGCUUGUUGGUGGGGUAGUGGCUUACCAAGGCUUUGACGGGUAGCCGGCCUGAGAGGGUGACCGGCCACAUUGGGACCUGGAUACCGCCCAGACUCCUACGGGAGGCAGGAGUGGGGAAUAUUGCACAAUGGGCGGAAGCCUGAUGCAGCAACGCCGCGUGCGGGAUGACGGCCUUCGGGUUGUAAACCGCUUUCGCCUGUGACGAAGCGUGAGUGACGGUAAUGGGUAAAGAAGCACCGGCUAACUACGUG